rnacentral:ncRNA from 2 species
CCAACAAUUGCAGGAGAGCGGGUCUCACGGAGGCCCUACCGAAGGCGCAAACUCCCAUAAACGCUCAGGUCGGCCCGACGGAGUUCCAGG